rnacentral:lncRNA from 10 species
CACAGUGCUAGGCAUGGAGGGGAAGCUGCAAAGUUAGAUGAGCUUAUAAGCAGAAUUUAGUCAGAGAGACCCAUACCUAACUCUAAUGCUAACCACGUGUUAAAACACUUUGGAGAAUUUCAGGUCUUUUAUCUUUUUCUUCAAAAACUGAAGAUGUGGCAGUUAGUUUUGGGGCUGGAAAUUUGAGCAGAGAGAAUGGCAGAGUCUUUUCAGGAGCCAGAAAUGCAUGUGAGGACCAAGAACUUCUAACAGUAGAGGAACUCUGGCUGGGGUAGUUGAGGGGGAGGAGAAAUGAGGAUCAAGGGGGCAUACAGUGCAUGAAAACAAAAGGUGAGGCCCAAGAUCAGCCAAAGUGAGUAAACCACGGUUACCAUGGCUACUCUUCAGUGGAGACGGAAGGAAGCCCUGUAUCCUCCCCUUCCAACCACACUACGCUGUUCCACUCCCCAUCUCCAUCUCCUGUACCCCAGACACACUCAGGCAAGCACAGCACCACCCUGGAUGACUCUGCGGAAUGCCUCUCAGAGACACGGAACUAGAAACCUAGGGGAAGAGGGACAUCAAGGCUUUUGCCUCACAAGCUGACUCUGGAACAAAGAGCCAGGCUGAGGGGCUGGAAGAAGAAACUUCCAGCAGAGCCACCCAGAUAUGCUUCCCCCACCCUCUAGACCUUCCACACCAACCAGUGUCCAGUCAGUCCACAGAGCAUCCUCCUGGGCUGUGGUGACUGAAGUUGAAGGGAAGAAAAUAUAAUAAUAAUUUUGGGCAGGUCGUCUUUCUUUACUGUAUUGGAUGGAUAUAGAAUCAAUAAAUCUAUAGGUUUAUCCCAUUUUUCUGAACAAAUUUAGAGGUCAAAGAUGAACCCUCAAGGGGACAGAAUAUGACCAGCAGGACUAUUGAUAUCGUCUGCCCUAGGCACUCCUCCUUACCCUCCUCUCCCCUAUAUUUUGGGGGCAGUCAUAUUCCUCAGCAGUCAGUUGCUCUGCCUCCAGUCCUAACUGGCUUCUGAAAAACAGUUCUGGUCCAUUCAUUCCCUGUCUCGAGACUUCCGGAGCUUCCUGACCUGUGAAUGAAAUCCACAGGCCCAUCACAAGAUGGCUGCGCUCUCCAGUCCCCGGCACCCCAGGCUGCUCUGAACAUGUGAGAGCUCCUCCCUCAAGGCCUGAAUUUUCGCAGGUCUUCAUCACACUCAGCCCGCCAUCAUUUUUUCAGAUUCAGUUCCAAUAUGUCACUCUGUCUGUAGAGCCUUCCCUGAAUCUCACAGACAAAUGCGGCAGUUCCCUUUGUGGGGGAUAUUCAUCAUGUUUUUCCUCAUUGGCCUAUGUUUUUGCCUCUUCUUGUAGAUGUCCAUCUAGGCUGGGAGCUCCUAGGGGGUAAACGCAGCCUCUCACUCACCUGGCACAGAGUCGAUGCUCAUGGAAUGAUACGUGAUGGGGAGAGUGAGUAAGUGAAUGAAUGAAUGAAUGCUAUUCUGGAAGGAAGAGGGAGAGAGGGAGCAGGGAAAGGUCAGAAGGGGGCCCAGAGUCUUCAGCACACAAUGUGGGUGUAUCACUGUGGCCAGGAACAAUUCGCUUCUCUGCCUGCAUUACUUUUUGGGAAAUGGGAGAGCUGAGGCUCAGUGUAGGCAAACUGGGUCCAGUCAGCAGGGAAGCCAUGAGCUCCACGGUUUAGGGGAGGAGUCCGGUGCUUAAGGAAGCUAUCACGUGGAAGAUCUCCCUGCCCUCCUCCUAUUGGUCUGUAUUGGUUUUUCUUCUUCACCAGUGGAGGCUUUUCUUCUCCCAGGAAGAAUCCAGAAUAGUUCAGACAAGCUUCAGGUCCGCCAGAACCGGGGAAAACAACGUGUAGGGUUUGUUUUAAAGGGCUUUUAAAUGGGGUUUGGGAGAUCCAGGUAGAUUAGAAUCUUGACUCUGCACUGGCUGUGCAAGACAGAAAUUCACCUUUCAAAACUUCUGUUCCCCAGUCUAUGCGGUAAGAAGUUUAGAUUAGCUGAUUUCUAGGGAGAUUUUGGGCAGGCAUGAUUCAGUUCCAUGAAGGGCUGUGGGACAGGACUGCACUAAGAGGUCCUAUAGAUUGGAUUCUUCAGUUCCCUCCCUUCCGCUGGAGAAUAGAGGAAUCUGCCUUCGCUGCACACUAGAUUUACCUGGAGAACAAAUGGAAAGCAGGCCAGGAUCCUGGGUGAAAUGUGGCACAUUUGAGGAGACUUCAACUUCCCUUGCCCUCCAGUGUGGUCUUUUCCCCACCCCCAGACAUGAAAGGGAAGCAGGUCACAAAGCCUUUCGGAUUAUAAAAGAAACACUUGCUUCUCACAAGGGGAGCAGCAGACUUACUCUGUACUAAAUGCCAGGAUAAGCCUCUGGCUGGGCCUCGACUGUGACCCUCCGGCCUCUUUCUACAGCUCUGCCUGGAUGGACUGGCCUAUCUCUGCUGGAUUCCCGAAGUGCAUUGUGUAGAGACAGCAACUCAGGUCAGGCUAAAAGCUCAAGCAAGCAAGCGCGCACACACACGCGCGCACACACACACACACACACACAAACACUCAGCUUCCUUAGGACAAGAUAAAAUCUUAGCAUUCCCCUCUCCCCGAUUAGGUAGGUCUCUGGGAGGACUAAGGCUUCAGGUGCAAGGCUCAGAUAACCUGCAGUGUCUCUCCAACUCUGGGAUGACAAAGACCUCACUUCCCUUUUCUGGUGUUCACACAACAAUGAGAAAGUACGGGUAGCCUGCAGAAAGACCUCUCCAUUCAUGGUCCCCCAGGGGUGUGGGUUCUGAGAGGUGGGACCAGCUGCCAGGCCCUUUCUCCAUUGGUUGAGUUCAGCAGGUAACCUGAAGCUUUGCUGAGAGGUGCAUAAAUAAAGAGUGAAACUAGUACCACCUCCUUGAAAUGGGCUGAGUCCCUCUUGCUCACCCUUGACUUGGAAAAACCAGUUUCUCUUUUAUUGUCUGUUACUAAUCUCUAUUCUAAAAAUUCAGCUCAAUUCUCAACCAUACUCCAAACUCUCUCUUUUCCAGCUACCUUUACUCCCUCUCCUUCAAUUCCACUUUCCUCUGCUUACUUUUUUUUUUUUUCUGACAGGGUCUCACUUUGUCGCCCGGGCAGGAGUGCAGUGGCUCAAUCUUGGGCUCACUGCAGCCUCAACCUCCCAGAGGCGGGGUUUCACCAUGUUGCCCAGACUGGUCUUGAACUCCUGAGCUUAAGCAAUCCACCUGCCUCGGCCUCCCAAAGUGUUGGGAUCACAGGCGUGAGCCACCGCAUCCGGCCUCAUGUUCUUUUUCAUUAAAGAGAGAAAUCAACUAUUCAGGACCGGCCCCCACCUUUCCUCAGGAGUCAUUUCUGUUCCGCACAGGCCUGCUGAACUGGGUGCUUUAUAUAGGAAAGGACCAACCACACCGAGCUCAGUUAUGGCACACACAGUGGGACCUAGACAAAGGGAGAGGGUGACCGACAUCCCAACUAGAUUUCAGUGGAGUGAAGUUCAGGAGGCAUGGAGCUGACAACCAUGAGGCCUCGGCAGCCACCGCCACCACCGCCGCCGCCACCACCGUAGCAGCAGCAGCAGCAGCAGCAGCAGCAGCAGCAGCAGCAAGAGUAACUCUGACUUAGGAAUAGAGACAGCCAGAGAGAAAUGUGAUCAAUGAAGGAGACAUCUGGAGUGUGCGUGCUUCUUCAGAGGGACGGGUGAUGGGCAGAUUGGAAAAAGCACCGCAGAUGGGAACCUUAAUCUUUCUUUUCUAAAAUUGAUGCUAUGAAAAUUUGCGUUUUCUGUAACUUGUAAAAACUAAAAGUUGCUUGUCUACUGAAAAGCCUCUCUGCCUCUAUGUUUUAUACCAUCGGAUGCCAACUCCCGGCCUUCUAAGCCACCUCCCCUUUAGGCUAAAACUGAGACAUGAACUUGAAAAAUUGACACUGGCUUCCUCUCUCUUUAGGGUCCCCAGGCAGGUGGCUGGGACACUAUUUGCAAUCAGCAAGGAACCCUGCUGCCCUUAGACUCCCCACAGAGCAAGCAGAACUUGCAGAAUGGGGUAAAAACACUCUAUUAAAGAUUUUUUAAACCUAUUUAUAUUGUAAUAAAGUAAAUGUAAAUAAAAUUUAAGUGAAGGCAGAUUGCAGAUAUUUCCGAUGCUAUACAAGAUAUAUCUCAUAGUAUGGGUGUAGAUUCUGCAAAGGUUAAUGCAGUUAAACAUAUUUGACACAUAAAAAUGUCAGAUCCAACAUUAAUCAUUCACCAAUUGUAAUUGCCUUUCUAUGGGUCUCUUCUCCCCAAGACAUAGCUUAAAACACCAGGCUCGGUAGAAAUCUGGGAGGAAAAAAGCAAAUAAUACCUCUCAGCUGUCAGGGUCUAUGAUACGCUUUGAUAGAUUUAGCACUGAUUUCAUUCUCUUUACAAUUCAGUGUGAUUGGGUGUGCGUGUGUGUGUGUGUGUGUGUGUGUGUGUGUGUGUGUGUUACUCCAUGUUUCUCCUUUUUAAGGAAGGAGAAGGUGUGGAACAAGAGAAAGUUCCUAAGUCUGAAGGAAGUCCAACCCAGUUAUGAAGGGAAUGCCAUCCACAAGCCUUUUUUAUAAUUGGCCCCUGCCUCAGGUAAAGGGGUCUCCUUUAAGGAGCCAGUCUGGCUAAAUUGGCAGAUUCUGAACAAAGCCUGGCCCUGACAAGUCUUCAGAAAAACCGGUUUUCACCUCCAGAAUGUGCCCCAG